UUCCCUGGAAUGGGGUGUCAUAGAGGGUGAGAAUCCCGUUUGUGGUGUGGACUACCUUGGCUCUGUGAUACACUCUCAACGAGUCGAGUUGUUUGGGAAUGCAGCUCAAAAUGGGUGGUAAAUUCCAUCUAAAGCUAAAUAUUGGCGAGAGACCGAUAGCGAACAAGUACCGUGAGGGAAAGAUGAAAAGCACUUUGGAAAGAGAGUGAAACAGUACGUGAAAUUGUUGAAAGGGAAGCGUUUGAAGUCAGUCACAUCGAUCGGAAUUCAGCCUGGCUUUGCCUGGUGUACUUUCUGGUAGAUGGGUCAGCGUCAAUUUCGACUGAGGGAAAAAGACUUGAGGAAUGUGGCUGUCUUCGGGCAGUGUUAUAGCCUCUUGUUGUAUGUCUCAGUUGGGAUUGAGGACCGCAGCACGCCAUUUGGCCGGGGUUCGCGCCCUCGGAACGUGCUUAGGACGCUGGCAUAAUGGCUUUAAGCGACCCGUCUUGAAACACGGACCAAGGAGUCUAACAUGUGCGCGAGUGUUUAGGUGUUAAACCUGGGCGCGUAAUGAAAGUGAAAGGUCGGGAUCAUGUACUUGUGCACCGACGCCCGGAGCAGACCUUCUGUGACGCAUCCGCGGUAGAGCGUAUAUGUUGGGACCCGAAAGAUGGUGAACUAUGCCUGAAUAGGGUGAAGCCAGAGGAAACUCUGGUGGAGGCUCGUAGCGAUUCUGACGUGCAGAUCGAUCGUCAAAUUUGGGUAUAGGGGCGAAAGACUAAUCGAACCAUCUAGUA
rnacentral:rRNA from 1 species